AUUGAACGCUGGCGGCAGGCCUAACUCAUGCAAGUCGAGCGAGCGGCGGACGGGUGAGUAAUGUCUGGGAAACUGCCUGAUGGAGGGGGAUAACUACUGGAAACGGUAGCUAAUACCGCAUACCAUCAGAUGUGCCCAGAUGGGAUUGGCUAGUAGGUGGGGUAACGGCUCACCUAGGCGACGAGCCCUAGCUGGUCUGAGAGGAUGACCAGCCACCGGGGAACGAAGACACGUGCCAGACUCGUAAGGGAGGCAGCAGUGGGGAAUAUUGCACAAUGGGCGCAAGGCUGAUGCAGCCAUGCGGCGUGAGUGAAGAAGGCCUUCGGGUUGUAAAGCACUUUCAGCGGGGAGGCGUUACCCGAAGAAGAAGCACCGGCUAACUCCGUGCCAGCAGCCGCGGUAAUUC
rnacentral:rRNA from 1 species